rnacentral:rRNA from 1 species
UACGUAGGUGACAAGCGUUGUCCGGAUUUACUGGGCGUAAAGAGCGCGCAGGCGGUCGAUCAAGUCGAGUGUGAAAGCCCCGGCUCAACUGGGAGGGUCAUUCGAUACUGAUCGACUCGAAGGCAGGAGAGGGUAGUGGAAUUCCGGUGUAGUGGUGAAAUGCGUAGAUAUCGGAGGACACCAGUGGCGAAGGCGACUACCUGGCCUGUUCUGACGCUGAGGCGCGAAAGCUAGGGAGCAACGGG